CAGGGAGACAACAAAAUGUUAAAUAUUAAUUUUGUCACCUUAGGUCGAUCGGUAUCUCACAUUCUUAAUUUAUUAAGGAUUUUAUUUCCUAAGUUUUUUCUAGGUCACACCCAUUACUUUUCCUGGGCCAUUAGCUCAGGUGGUUAGAGCGCACCCCUGAUAAGGGUGAGGUCCCUGGUUCAAGUCCAGGAUGGCCCAUCUCUCUAUGUUGGGGGUAUAGCUCAGUUGGUAGAGCGCCUGCUUUGCAAGCAGGAUGUCAGCGGUUCGAGUCCGCUUACCUCCACUGAUUACCACCUCUUCCAUAAUUUUAGAAUGGAAAUGUUUUGAGUUGUGAUCAAAUUCUGAACGAAUCUAGCUUCCUAAUUAUCUUUAUUAAGAUGCUGGAUUCAUUGAAUUAAUUUCAUUGUUUUCAGAGAACCUUGACAACUGCAUAGAUUAUUUUUAAAGACAAUAAGCAUCUUUAAUGAUGCAGAUUUAUUAUUUGUGCGAAUGCAUUAAUAACAAUUCUAUUAAGCUGAUGCUUCAAUUAUUGAAGUUAUU
rnacentral:tRNA from 1 species